CGUCACCACAGCUUCAGGCCUGGGGGGCUUCGGCCACUGAGAUGAGGGGUUCAGGCCAGGUUUCAGAGUCCCACCAGGCCUCCCUCUUGCAACAGAAGGAAAGUCCACACUGAGGAGGAUCAUGGCCUGCUACGGUCGAAGUGCAAGGCACGCGUCAGAAGCAGUGGCUCCUUCUGCAGCAGGACUCACCUACUGACUCAGAAGGACGUCCUCCAGGGACAGCCAGCUCCUCCUCUGAGCGCACAGCCCAUGUCCUCUGCUGUGCGCUCCUCGCGCGAACCGACCCCACCUCGGACCGGAAGCCACCUUGGGCUGGAGGAUGCCAUGAAGUCUCUCUGGUUCAACGUGCAUGCACCGUCUCACUUAACCUGGGUUACUCUGUAUGAGUUGCACAGAAAAGGCCAACAUGGACAUCUGAGGACAGACAGCACAGGAGUACAGGAACUAAUGCAAAUUGCAUGUGAAUGACAUCCCCAUGCAGGCCACUACUGACCACACUUACCCUCCCAUUUCACACACCUGCUUGGGACUAUCCUUCCUGGAGGCCACUGGAACUUCUGGAGCCACCUGCAGCACUUCUGAUGCAUUUCCUAGGUGGUGAUUUCCCAGCCCUGACACUGGUGACAGCUGUGGGUCUUACUCCACCAUAGCCAGAGGAGAAUGUGUCUGCCACUGCAUCAGCGGAAGGAGAGGGAGUUGGGGGUGGUCACCAGCUUCCCAGGCUUCACUUUCCCCACUUAUAAAUGAGGGGCUGGAACUUU
rnacentral:lncRNA from 1 species